AGUGAACGCUGGCGGUAGGCCUAACACAUGCAAGUCGAACGGCAGCACAGUAAGAGCUUGCUCUUACGGGUGGCGAGUGGCGGACGGGUGAGGAAUACAUCGGAAUCUACUUUUUCGUGGGGGAUAACGUAGGGACACUUACGCUAAUACCGCAUACGACCUACGGGUGAAAGCAGGGGAUCUUCGGACCUUGCGCGAUUGAAUGAGCCGAUGUCGGAUUAGCUAGUUGGCGGGGUAAAGGCCCACCAAGGCGACGAUCCGUAGCUGGUCUGAGAGGAUGAUCAGCCACACUGGAACUGAGACACGGUCCAGACUCCUACGGGAGGCAGCAGUGGGGAAUAUUGGACAAUGGGCGCAAGCCUGAUCCAGCCGUACCGCGUGGGUGAAGAAGGCCUUCGGGUUGUAAAGCCCUUUUGUUGGGAAAGAAAAGCAGCAGGUUAAUACCCCGCUGUUCUGACGGUACCCAAAGAAUAAGCACCGGCUAACUUCGUG
rnacentral:rRNA from 1 species